UACGGAGGGAGCUAGCGUUGUUCGGAAUUACUGGGCGUAAAGCGCGCGUAGGCGGCUUUGUAAGUUAGAGGUGAAAGCCCGGGGCUCAACCCCGGAAUUGCCUUCAAGACUGCAUCGCUUGAAUCCGGGAGAGGUGAGUGGAAUUCCGAGUGUAGAGGUGAAAUUCGUAGAUAUUCGGAAGAACACCAGUGGCGAAGGCGGCUCACUGGACCGGCAUUGACGCUGAGGUGCGAAAGCGUGGGGAGCAAACAGG
rnacentral:rRNA from 1 species